AUAAAAGAAUGCAGAUGUUUAAAUAUUUUAUUUUUUCUUUUUGUGUUUAGAAAUGCACUCGGUGAUGGAAAGAGAGCCAUUAUUCUGAAGAGCACUUGGCCAAAGGGCAUAUAUACCUAGGAAUUUAUCAGCACCUGCUUUUAGUACUUCACUUAACUUUGUGGAGACGGAAAGAGAUCUCAAAAAAGCUAACUACAAGAUGGCAAACGGUGGUAAUCAGAACCUAAAGGAAAGCUCAGUUAAAAACUUAAAAUUAUUUCAGCUAUUAAUAGUAA
rnacentral:lncRNA from 1 species